UGUAAAAAUGAAGACAGUGGUGUUCCCAAG
rnacentral:piRNA from 1 species